CGGAGGAUCCAAGCGUUAUCCGGAUUUAUUGGGUUUAAAGGGUGCGUAGGCGGCCUGUUAAGUCAGGGGUGAAGACGGUAGCUCAACUAUCGCAGUGCCUUUGAUACUGACGGGCUUGAAUGAACUAGAGGUAGGCGGAAUGAGACAAGUAGCGGUGAAAUGCAUAGAUAUGUCUCAGAACACCGAUUGCGAAGGCAGCUUACUAUGGUUUAAUUGACGCUGAGGCACGAAAGCGUGGGGAUCAAACAGGAUU
rnacentral:rRNA from 1 species